UUUACCACGUGGGUAGAACUAGAGGAAAACCUUUUCCGAUUCAGGGUACGAAUCCUUUUUUGUGUGUGUGGUUGAUGAGAGACCCUGCUUUCCUCUGGAAUUUCACACACGGCCCCAAAUAUCCCUCGGAUACGGAUUUCCUGAAGCGGCAACCCAAGUUCUGGCACUGUUGUGGCUCCUGGGCCUUUUCCCACCCGCGGCAGCCACAGGCCUCCCUCCUCCUAGGCUGACAGCCUCUCUCCCCGUGAAGUGGUCUUGGCAUCACAGGUGUUGAGUGUCUCUAAUCCUCCCAUCGAAUGUGUCCUGGGGCAGAUUUCCUGUGUGAAGAGGCUCACACCAGUGGCACGUUUGUGACACGCAGAAACAUCAGCAAUGACUGAAAAUUUGCCAAAUGGACCCUCCGGGAGGCCUGAGCUAUACUGCCGGCGGCAAGCGGACCAGCGAUGGGAACCAGCCCGGGCCGGUCUUCUCUCCAGCCCCGGUGAUCUGGCUCUAGCUAAACUCGGCUGCCUAGAUAUUGUCGGUAUCGGGUGGAUUUCAUGUGAACUGAGGGUUUCCUCCCUUUUGAUUCUUCUCUUGAAGGCCGGCUUCAGACACUUCAGAUCUACUUGCCGGCCGGCCACUGUGAUGGAUUAGAACCGUGGCAGCUCAGGAACAAAGGCUGCACAAAAACCUUACGUGACACAGGAUUUUACAUAAUUAACGUUAAAGGCAGCUGUAGUCAGAUUGGCGGCUCUAAGGGUUUCAGACCCAUAACGGCUCACUGUGACUAAACACAGCAGUGGUUUUCAGGACCUAA